rnacentral:lncRNA from 13 species
AGUGUGCAUGCGAGCUGUCCUUCCAUUGUGCCCUUGAACAUUGGCAGAACCCACUCUCUUUUUCUAUUUGGGGUAGGCUACAUUGGAAGACUGGCAGUGGCUAGACCCAAAGCAUGAAUUGCAGUCUUUCCUUGUCCAUAUACUGCUCUAAAGUAAGGAAACAAAUAAGUGAUGUUGAACUUUCCCUUUAAAACAUAUGGACUUUUAUUUAGAAAUGCAGGCUGCAUGCUGGCUCCUCUCACCCCCCUCCACACCUACCUUGUCCCUCCUCCUCGUUACUGACCCGCCCUGCGGGUUUCCCUGUGCCACUGCGGUGAAACCAACUGUAAAAGAGGAUCUGGUUAAAAAAGUAAACAACAACCUGAAUAUCACGAGCGCCGUGUUUUGUAAUAGCGAGACCCCCAGUUUAUAUAGUUAUUUUUUCUUUUCGUUCACAUCUCCGGGUCAACCUAUUUCAUCAUCCAACCGGCAAAAUGGGAAAUGAGGCAAGUUACCCCCUGGAAAUGUGCUCGCAUUGUAAGUAUCUUUGAAUUACUAACUAACUGCCUUUGUUUGUCCGGCAUCAACAUCAGAAAAUGAAACUAUUCUCACUCCCCUCCGCUCUCUGCUUGUCUGAGCUUGUAUUGAGUAUUCAACAUUAUAACAGAGCUUCAUAUGCUCAAAUGCAACCCAACAAAAAGGACAGCAUAUAUAGAUUAGACUAACACCACACAGGGGCUUUCUGCUGGAGCCAGGGACACACUCAGAGGAGACUCAGGGACACACUCAGGGGAGACUCAGGGACACACUCAGGGGAGACUCAGGGACACACUCAGAGGAGACUCAGGGACACACUCAGAGGAGACUCAGGGACACACUCAGAGGAGACUCAGGGANNNNNNNNNNNNNNNNNNNNNNNNNNNNNNNNNNNNNNNNNNNNNNNNNNGUGACUUAUAUAUAGUACCAGACCUGGGUUCAAAUAGUAUUUAGGGUGUUUCAAAGACAUUUGGCAUGUAUUUAAAACUACUUUUGUAUACUUUUGUAUACUUUCUAGCCAGUAGUUCUGAAAGUAACGCUCACGAGACAAAAGUGGUCCCCGAAAAUGGCGUACUACAAUCAGUGUAGAUGAACGGGAGGAGGCACGUUAAAGAAUGAUUUUUUAAGCCUUGAAACAGUUGACAUGGAUUGUGUAUGUGUGCCAUUCAGAGGGUGAAUGGGCAAGACAAAAGAUUUAAGUGCCUUUGAACAGGGGUAUGGUAGUAGGUGCCAGGCGCACCAGUUUGUGUGAAGAAAUGCAACGCUGCUUGGUUUUUCACGCUCAACCGUUUCCCGUGUGUAUCAAGAAUGGUCCACCAUCCAAAAGACAUCUAGUCAAAUUGACAACUCUGGGAAGUAUUGGGAGUCAACAUGCAUCCCUGUGGAACGCUUUCGACAUCUUGUAGAGUGCGUGCCUUGACGUAUUGAGGACAAAAAGGGGCGGGGUCAACUCAAUGUUAGAAAGGUGUGUUCCUAAUGUUUGGAAAACUCUGUGUAUAUACAGUAAAAAAGUUUGGACACACCUACUCAUUCCAGGUUUUUUAUUUAUUUUUUACUAUUUUCUACAUUUUAGAAUAACAGUGAAGACAUCAAAACUAUGAAAUAACACACAUGGAAUCAUGUAGUAACCAAAAAAGUAUUAAAUAAAUAAAAAUAUAUUUGAGAUUCUUCAAAGUAGCCGCCCUUUGCCUUGAUGACAGCUUUGCUCCCUUUUGGCGUUCUCUCAGCCUGCUUCAUGGGCCCCUGAGUGGCGCAGCGGUCAAAGGCACUGCAUCUCAGUGCUAGAGGGGUCACUACAGACCCUGGUUCAGCGCUCGAAGGCACUGCAUCUCAGUGCUAGAGGCAUCACUACAGACCCUGGUUCAGCGGUCUAAGGCACUGCAUCUCAGUGCUAGAGGCGUCACUACAGACCCUGGUUCAGCGGUCUAAGGCACUGCAUCUCAGUGCUAGAGGCGUCACUACAGACGCCUUGGUUCGAAUCCAGGCUGUAUCACAUCCGGCCGUGAUUGGGAGUUCCAUAGGGCGGCGCUCAAUUGGCCCAGCGUCGUUCGGGUUUGGCCGGUGAAGGCCGUCAUUGUAAACAAGAAUUUGUUCUUAACUGACUUACCUAGUUAAAUAAAGGUUAAAAUAAAUAAAUAAAAUGAGGUAGUCACCUGGAAUGCAUUUCAAUUAACAGUGUAUACAUAUGUCUUUUGUCUUGCCCAUUCACCCU